CUUAAGUCUGAUGUGCAAGCCCACGGCUCAACCGUGGAGGGUCAUUGGAAACUGGGGGACUUGAGUGCAGAAGAGGAAAGUGGAAUUCCACGUGUAGCGGUGAAAUGCGUAGAGAUGUGGAGGAACACCAGUGGCGAAGGCGACUUUCUGGUCUGUAACUGACGCUGAGGCGCGAAAGCGUGGGGAGCAAACAGGAUUAGAUACCCUGGUAGUCCACGCCGUAAACGAUGAGUGCUAAGUGUUAGGGGGUUUCCGCCCCUUAGUGCUGCAGCUAACGCAUUAAGCACUCCGCCUGGGGAGUACGGCCGCCAAGGCUGAACU
rnacentral:rRNA from 1 species